AUUGAACGCUGGCGGCAUGCCUUACACAUGCAAGUCGAACGGCAGCACGGGAGCAAUCCUGGUGGCGAGUGGCGAACGGGUGAGUAAUAUAUCGGAACGUGCCCAGUCGUGGGGAUAACGUAGCGAAAGCUACGCUAAUACCGCAUACGAUCUACGGAUGAAAGCGGGGGAUCGCAAGACCUCGCGCGAUUGGAGCGGCCGAUAUCAGAUUAGGUAGUUGGUGAGGUAAAGGCUCACCAAGCCGACGAUCUGUAGCUGGUCUGAGAGGACGACCAGCCACACUGGGACUGAGACACGGCCCAGACUCCUACGGGAGGCAGCAGUGGGGAAUUUUGGACAAUGGGCGCAAGCCUGAUCCAGCAAUGCCGCGUGCAGGAUGAAGGCCUUCGGUU
rnacentral:rRNA from 1 species